rnacentral:rRNA from 1 species
GACGAACGCUGGCGGCGUGCUUAACACAUGCAAGUCGAACGGAAAGGCCCUGCUUUUGUGGGGUGCUCGAGUGGCGCACGGGUGAGUAACACGUGAGUAACCUGCCCUUGACUUUGGGAUAACUUCAGGAAACUGGGGCUAAUACCGGAUAGGAGCUCCUGCUGCAUGGUGGGGGUUGGAAAGUUUCGGCGGUUGGGGAUGGACUCGAGGCUUAUCAGCUUGUUGGUGGGGUAGUGGCUUACCAAGGCUUUGACGGGUAGCCGGCCUGGGAGGGGGACCGGGCACAUGGGGACUGAGAGACGGCCCAGACUCCUACGGGAGGCAGCAGUGGGGAAUAUUGCACAAUGGGCGGAAGCCUGAUGCAGCAACGCCGCGUGCGGGAUGACGGCCUUCGGGUUGUAAACCGCUUUCGCCUGUGACGAAGCGUGAGUGACGGUAAUGAGUAAAGAAGCACCGGCUAACUACGUG